rnacentral:rRNA from 1 species
AGUGAGCGCUGGCGGUAGGCCUAACACAUGCGAGUCGAACGGCAGCACAGUAAGAGCUUGCUCUUACGGGUGGCGCGUGGCGGACGGGUGAGGAAUACAUCGGAAUCUACUUUUUCGUGGGGGCUAACGUAGGGAAACUUACGCUAAUACCGCAUACGACCUACGGGUGAAAGCAGGGGAUCUUCGGACCUUGCGCGAUUGAAUGAGCCGAUGUCGGAUUAGCUAGUUGGCGGGGUAAAGGCCCACCAAGGCGACGAUCCGUAGCUGGUCUGAGGGGAUGAUCAGCCACACUGGAACUGAGACACGGUCCAGACUCCUACGGGAGGCAGCAGUGGAGAAUAUAGGACAGGGGGCGCAAGCCUGAUCCAGCCAUACCGCGUGAGUGAAGAAGGCCUUCGGGUUGUAAAGCCCUUUUGUUGGGAAAGAAAAGCAGCAUGUUAAUACCCCGCUGUUCGGACGGUACCCAAAGAAUAAGCACCGGCUAACUGCGU